rnacentral:rRNA from 1 species
UGGGGAAUUUUGGACAAUGGGCGCAAGCCUGAUCCAGCAAUGCCGCGUGCAGGAUGAAGGCCUUCGGGUUGUAAACUGCUUUUGUACGGAACGAAACGGCGAGCUCUAAUACAGUUUGCUAAUGACGGUACCGUAAGAAUAAGCACCGGCUAACUACGUGCCAGCAGCCGCGGUAAUACGUAGGGUGCAAGCGUUAAUCGGAAUUACUGGGCGUAAAGCGUGCGCAGGCGGUUAUGUAAGACAGAUGUGAAAUCCCCGGGCUUAACCUGGGAACUGCAUUUGUGACUGCAUAGCUAGAGUACGGUAGAGGGGGAUGGAAUUCCGCGUGUAGCAGUGAAAUGCGUAGAUAUGCGGAGGAACACCGAUGGCGAAGGCAAUCCCCUGGGCCUGCACUGACGCUCAUGCACGAAAGCGUGGGGAGCAAACAGGAUUAGAUACCCUGGUAGUCCACGCCCUAAACGAUGUCAACUGGUUGUUGGGAAGGUUCCUUCUCAGUAACGUAGCUAACGCGUGAAGUUGACCGCCUGGGGAGUACGGCCGCAAGGUUG